GGCUGGUCUAAUGGUAGUGGGUUAUCAGAGCUUAUUAACAUUACCUACUGCUAAAUUUGACUGUUUUAA
ensembl:misc_RNA Y_RNA Y RNA